GAUGAACGCUGGCGGCGUGCCUAAUACAUGCAAGUCGAGCGAACAGACGAGGAGCUUGCUCCUUUGACGUUAGCGGCGGACGGGUGAGUAACACGGGGGUAACCUACCUAUAAGACUGGGAUAACUUCGGGAAACCGGAGCUAAUACCGGAUAAUAUUUCGAACCGCAUGAUUCGCUAGUGAAAGAUGGCUUUGCUAUCACUUAUAGAUGGACCUGCGCCGUAUUAGCUAGUUGAUAAGGUAACGGCUUACCACGGCAACAAUACGUAGCCGACCUGAGAGGGUGAUCGGCAACACUGGAACUGAGACACGGUCAAGACUCUGACGGGAGGCAGCAGUAGGGAAUCUUCCGCAAUGGGCGAAAGCCUGACGGAGCAACGCCGCGUGAGUGAUGAAGGUCUUCGGAUCGUAAAACUCUGUUAUUAGGGAAGAACAAACGUGUAAGUAACUGUGCACGUCUUGACGGUACCUAAUCAGAAAGCCACGGCUAACUACGUG
rnacentral:rRNA from 1 species